UGACCUACACUACAGUUCACGGCAAUGUGGUAUCCUUAACCCACUGAGCAAGGUCAGGGAUGGAAUCCGCGUCCUCAUGGAUACCAGUAGGGUUCAUUAACCACUGAGCCAUGACAGGAACUCCUUUCUGUCUUUCUAAAUGAAAUAAUUACUAUGGCUGAUUUCAGUUUUAUAUUUAAAAGGAGUUUUUACUCCCUACAAUUUCUCUUCCAUCUCCUCAAGGUAGUUUCUAUAGUACUGGUAUCUUUAUGCUGGUUGUCAUAGAACAAUUUUAUUUGUCAUUUGUCUGGAUCUGAAUUUGCUAAAGUUCUUGGACACUUGCGAUCUCUUCUGCUGUUAUACAUGAAAAUUUUCCUAAGAAAGAAAGCAAGGGUUAUAUUUUCUUGGUCUCAGGAUUUGGAGACAUCAUUUACUGGUUUGAAAGCACUGCCUUCUGGUAUAAAAGGCUGUUCCGUUCUGUCUGGACACCAAUUAGUGAUGCUAAACCCCCAAGGCGUGUGGUGUCUAUUGUUCUCUAUCAAUUUUCCCUGCUUAUGAAUGCAAGCCAACAUGUUCCUGAAUAUAUGUCCUGCAACCAGUGGACAUCUGAACAGACGAAGAAGGUAAAGAAGCUCUGAUAUAGAAUUUUUCUGCUUCACUUAAAGUUAAAAUGGGAUUUCUUAAAAGAAAGAUAUUCAAUAAAUAUUCUGGAACACUGGAACGUUUGACACUAGGAAGGAAAUGGAAUGCUGAAGUUCCAAAUCUACUUUCAAAAUUUCUCAU
rnacentral:lncRNA from 1 species